rnacentral:rRNA from 1 species
UACGUAGGUGGCAAGCGUUGUCCGGAUUUACUGGGCGUAAAGAGCGCGCAGGCGGUCGUUCAAGUCGCGUGUGAAAGCCCCCGGCUCAACUGGGGAGGGUCACGCGAUACUGAUCGACUCGAAGGCAGGAGAGGGAAGUGGAAUUCCCGGUGUAGUGGUGAAAUGCGUAGAUAUCAGGAGGAACACCGGUGGCGAAGGCGGUUCUCUGGGCCUUGCCUGACGCUGAGGAGCGAAAGCGUGGGGAGCAAACAGG